GCUCCUGUGGCCUAGUGGUUAGAGCGUCGGCCUCGGCUGCGGGAGGUCGUGGGUUCUAUCACCAUUCGAGUCAUACCAAAGACU